GGAUGCGAUCAUACCAGCACUAAAGCACCGGAUCCCAUCAGAACUCCGAAGUUAAGCGUGCUUGGGCGAGAGUAGUACUAGGAUGGGUGACCUCCUCGGAAGUCCUCGUGUUGCAUUCC
rfam:Triticum aestivum genome assembly, contig: Triticum_aestivum_CS42_TGACv1_scaffold_059131_1BS